ensembl:snoRNA
AUCCUUUUCAAAAGCAUGAUGUCUGGGUUUUUAUGCUAUUGUGUAAGAUGUGACUCCCUUAACUUAGUUACAACAUCGGUACAUUGUCUGAUGUGAAA